AUACGUAGGGAGCGAGCGUUGUCCGGAAUUACUGGGUGUAAAGGGAGCGUAGGCGGGAGUGCAAGUCAGAUGUGAAAUGCAUGGGCUUAACCCUUGAGCUGCAUUUGAAACUGCAUUUCUUGAGUGAAGUAGAGGUAAGCGGAAUUCCUGGUGUAGCGGUGAAAUGCGUAGAUAUCAGGAGGAACACCGGUGGCGAAGGCGGCUUACUGGGCUUUUACUGACGCUGAGGCUCGAAAGCGUGGGGAGCAAACAGGAUUAGAUACCCUGGUAGUCCACGCUGUAAACGAUGAUUACUAGGUGUGGGGGGACUGACCCCUUCCGUGCCGCAGUUAACACAAUAAGUAAUCCACCUGGGGAGUACGGCCGCAAGGUUGAAACUCAAAUGAAUUGGCGGGG
rnacentral:rRNA from 1 species